UACGUAGGGGGCAAGCGUUGUCCGGAUUUAUUGGGCGUAAAGAGCUCGUAGGCGGUUUGUUGCGUCGGCUGUGAAAUCCCCGAGGCUCAACCUCGGGUCUGCAGUCGAUACGAGCAAACUAGAGUGUUGCAGGGGAGACUGGAAUUCCUGGUGAUAGCGGUGAAAUGCGCAGAUAUCAGGAGGAACACCGGUGGCGAAGGCGGGUCUCUGGGCCGAUGACUGACGCUGGAGGAGCGAAAGCCGUUGGGGAGCGAACAGG
rnacentral:rRNA from 1 species